GAUGAAGAACGUAGCGAAAUGCGAUACGUAAUGUGAAUUGCAGAAUUCAGUGAAUCAUCGAAUCUUUGAACGCACAUUGCACUCCUUGGUAUUCCGAGGAGUAUGCCUGUUUCGGUAUCAUGAGCACUCUCACAUCUAACCUUUGGGUUAAAAUGUGGAAUUGGGAUGCGCCGGUUAUUAUAACGGCCCUCCUAAAAUUCAGUUCUUGGCUGCUUCCUACUACAGCAGUUUGGCCUAAUAGUUUUGAGUCUUCGAUUCAAAUCUUUGGCUAACAUUUGCUUCAGGAUGUCAGUCUUGAUAUACAGAAAUCUCAUUCAAACUUUGAUCUGAAAUCAGGUAGGGCUACCCGCUGAACUUAAGCAUAUCAAUAAGCGGAGGA
rnacentral:misc_RNA from 1 species